CUGUUACCUGUCCCAGAGUGUCUAAUGUUGUCUGUUGCCUGUCCCAAGGAGGGAUGAGGAGUAAGUAACACUUACACUUAGUAAAGAGGAGCAGAGACGAGCAGAGAGGAGGCGAGGAGAGGAGGCAAGGAGAGGAGCAGAGAGGAGGCGAGGAGAGGAGGCAAGGAGAGGAGCAGAGAAGAGCAGAGAGGAGCAGAGAGGAGGCGAGGAGAGGAGCAGAGAGGAGCAGAGAGGAGAGGAGGUGAGGAGAGGAGGCAAGGAGAGAAGCAGAGAAGAGCAGAGAGGAGCAGAGAGGAGGCGAGGAGAGGAGAAUAGAGGAGCAGAGAGGAGGUGAGGAGAGGAGGCAAGGAGAGGAGUAGAGAAGAGCAGAGAGGAGCAGAGAGGAGGAGAGGAGAGGAGAGGAGCAGAGAGGAGGCGAGGAGAGGAGCAGAGAGGGGGUGGGGAGAGGAGCAGAGAGGAGGUGAGGAGAGGAGCAGAGAGGAGGUGAGGAGAGGAGCAGAGAGGAAGUGAGGAGAGGAGCAGAGAGGAGGUGAGGAGAGGAGCAGAGAGGAGGUGAGGAGAGGAGCAGAGAGGAGGUGAGGAGAGGAGCAGAGAGGAAGUGAGGAGAGGAGCAGAGAGGAGGAGAGGAGAGGAGGCAAGGAGAGGAGUAGAGAAGAGCAGAGAGGAGCAGAGAGGAGGAGAGGAGAGGAGCAGAGAGGGGGCGAGGAGAGGAGCAGAGAGGGGGUGGGGAGAGGAGCAGAGAGGAGGUGAGGAGAGGAGCAGAGAGGAGGUGAGGAGAGGAGCAGAG
ensembl:lncRNA